UGCUUAAGUUGUACCAAGUAU
rnacentral:miRNA from 1 species